GAGAAAGAUGAAGAUGGUGAAGAGAACUCUUGUGAAUGUUUCACUAUUUGGUGCUUCCGUGACAUACACACAAUCUACGAGGAACAAGGAAACUUAUACAAAGGAAAUGUUGCUAUAAAGACACCGUGUGGAUGCGACUGCAGGAAUGCGCACAAGGUUCAUCAAAAUUGGGGCGGUUAUGGCUCACCAGGAAGAUGAAUUUGUCGAAGAAAUAGACAACUUCUAUGAAUAUUCCUUUAUGUACGGAUAAUCAUUUAUGUACAUAGAUGAUUUGAAAUAUAUGUGGAUCACAAUAAAUGUACUAAUGAGUCUA